rnacentral:rRNA from 1 species
UACGUAGGGUCCGAGCGUUUGUCCGGAAUUAUUGGGCGUAAAGGGCUCGUAGGCGGUCUGUCGCGUCUGCUGUGAAAACUCAGGGCUUAACCCUGAGCUUGCAGUGGGUACGGGCAGACUAGAGUGCGGUAGGGGGAGACUGGAAUUCCCGGUGUAGCGGUGAAAUGCGCAGAUAUCGGGAGGAACACCAGUAGCGAAGGCGGCACUCUGGGGCCGGUACUGACGCUGAGGAGCGAAAGCGUGGGGAGCAAACGGG